GACGGGGGAUGCAAGCGUUAUCCGGAAUCACUGGGCGUAAAGCGUCUGUAGGUGGUGAUGCAAGUCACUGGUGCAAAACUCUGGCUCAACCGGAGGAAAGCCAGUGAAACUGCAUGACUAGAGUGUGGGAGAGGUAGAAGGAAUUCCCUGAGUAGCGGUGAAAUGCGUAGAUACAGGGAAGAACACCGGAGGCGAAAGCGUUCUACUGGAACACAACUGACACUGACAGACGAAAGCUAGGGGCGCGAAUGCG
rnacentral:rRNA from 1 species